rnacentral:lncRNA from 1 species
GGGAGUCGUGGUGGAAGGUAGCCUCAGCCUAGUACUAGAACUAUGGCGUCUAACUGGGAUGAGGAAGAGGUGGCAAGAACCACAAAUUACAUUUAUGAUGGCCCACAGCCGUAUAAUUUCGAGCCUGUUAGACGUGAGGGGGCGAAUGAGGAAUUGCCGAGGAUUGAUGGCCGUCAAAGCCAAUUAAAUUCAUGGUCAGAGGAGAAUGGGUGGAGAGUUGGUGAGGUGUCCUGGUGAGUUGCUAUCAUUUAGCAAUGCAGCAACGAGCGCUUGAGCUAUCCCCCCUCCCCGGAUAAACCCUACGAUUAGUUAUCCCACGUUUUGAUGGUUGCCUAAUAGCUCCAGUAACUACCGGUACAUAUUUUGCCUAGUCUUUAUUUCUAAGCUUUUACAUAUUCCUCCGGUGAAAGUGUUGUUGCAAACGUACCCGGUAGCCGCCGAUCACGUAGGCUGGUCAUGAAUUCAGCGGUGAUUAUUUUCGAUUCUACUCCUCGUGAUUGAUUGUCAUUGACACCAUCAGGGUACCGCUUACAGAGAGAGGGAGAGUAGUAAGCGUGUCUGUGUCGCUGUGUUUGGCAGGUGUUUGUGUGGGCGGUGCCGUCCUAUGGAAUCUGUGGUGGAGAGCUUGUGCUGUAGGGAAGUGAGUGCGUUUUGGUCGCUGGUCGAGAAGCUCAGCCCAAGACCAGCAGAUGUGACAUGCCUCACUCAGCAUCCAGGAUUUGAUGCAUGCUGCCUGAAUCCGUUUGUGCUUAAGAUAGCGUACACACAUUUCAAGCAGGAUCAUGGUCCCCUUCAAGCCAGCACGCACGAGCAAUACCGGUACACUGCAUACAGGCAGGCUAUACGAUGGGCUUAUGGAGUUCUUGGACUGCAUAUAAGGAAGCCUCUACCCUCCUGUCUGGUUUCAGCCAUCAGGCAACAAUUUCAGAGUGGUGACCAGACCUAUCAUGGCUUUCAAUGGCCUCGUUUGGAUGAAGAAUAAAAACCAUAUUGGCACGUACAACAUGAAUACAAUUAUUUUUCAGUUCAAGAAUUAACUCAUGCUAGUUGUGUUGCGAUCGCUCAACCGCCUUUAAAAUGUUAUAAAAUACACAGA